rnacentral:lncRNA from 1 species
UGAAAUGUUGCAUUACUAGCAUGAUUGUGAGAUUGCCCUCCUUUUUUCUUCUUAAGAUCUGUAGGGUAUCCAUGAAGCUUGUAACAUGUGUCUCUAGUAUGACCCUUGAAGUGAUAAUAGUCACAAUACAGAGAACUUCUUCCAUAAGCGGCUCUUUGCUCAUAGAGAUGCCUUGGUCGGAAAGCAACAUUAGAUCCACCUUGACCAUUAUUAGAAGUGUUGUAGUUG